UUUUAUGGAGAGUUUGAUUCUGGCUCAGGACGAACGCUGGCGGCGUGCUUAACACAUGCAAGUCGAACGGAAAGGCUCCAGCUUGCUGGAGUACUCGAGUGGCGAACGGGUGAGUAACACGUGGGCAAUCUGCCCUGCACUCUGGGAUAAGCCUGGGAAACUGGGUCUAAUACUGGAUAGGACCUUUCUCCUCAUGGGGUUUGGUGGAAAGUUUUUCGGUGCAGGAUGAGCCCGCGGCCUAUCAGCUUGUUGGUGGGGUAAUGGCCUACCAAGGCGACGACGGGUAGCCGGCCUGAGAGGGUGAUCGGCCACAUUGGGACUGAGAUACGGCCCAGACUCCUACGGGAGGCAGCAGUGGGGAAUAUUGCACAAUGGGCGGAAGCCUGAUGCAGCGACGCCGCGUGAGGGAUGACGGCCUUCGGGUUGUAAACCUCUUUCAGUAGGGACGAAGCGUAAGUGACGGUACCUGCAGAAGAAGCACCGGCUAACUACGUGCCAGCAGCCGCGGUAAUACGUAGGGUGCGAGCGUUGUCCGGAAUUACUGGGCGUAAAGAGCUCGUAGGCGGUUUGUCACGUCGUCUGUGAAAUCCUAGGGCUUAACCCUGGACGUGCAGGCGAUACGGGCUGACUUGAGUACUACAGGGGAGACUGGAAUUUCUGGUGUAGCGGUGGAAUGCACAGAUAUCAGGAAGAACACCGAUGGCGAAGGCAGGUCUCUGGGUAGUAACUGACGCUGAGGAGCGAAAGCAUGGGUAGCGAACAGGAUUAGAUACCCUGGUAGUCCAUGCCGUAAACGGUGGGCGCUAGGUGUGGGGUUCAUUCCACGGACUCCGUGCCGUAGCUAACGCAUUAAGCGCCCCGCCUGGGGAGUACGGCCGCAAGGCUAAAACUCAAAGAAAUUGACGGGGGCCCGCACAAGCGGCGGAGCAUGUGGAUUAAUUCGAUGCAACGCGAAGAACCUUACCUGGGCUUGACAUAUAGAGGAUCGCUGCAGAGAUGUGGUUUCCCUUGUGGCUUCUAUACAGGUGGUGCAUGGUUGUCGUCAGCUCGUGUCGUGAGAUGUUGGGUUAAGUCCCGCAACGAGCGCAACCCUUGUCUUAUGUUGCCAGCACGUUAUGGUGGGGACUCGUGAGAGACUGCCGGGGUCAACUCGGAGGAAGGUGGGGAUGACGUCAAAUCAUCAUGCCCCUUAUGUCCAGGGCUUCACACAUGCUACAAUGGCCGGUACAGAGGGCUGCGAUGCUGUAAAGCGGAGCGAAUCUCUUAAAGCCGGUCUCAGUUCGGAUUGGGGUCUGCAACUCGACCCCAUGAAGUCGGAGUCGCUAGUAAUCGCAGAUCAGCAAUGCUGCGGUGAAUACGUUCCCGGGCCUUGUACACACCGCCCGUCACGUCAUGAAAGUCGGUAACACCCGAAGCCGGUGGCCUAACCUUUUUGGAGGGAGCCGUCGAAGGUGGGAUUGGCGAUUGGGACGAAGUCGUAACAAGGUAGCCGUACCGGAAGGUGCGGCUGGAUCACCUCCUUUCUAAGGA
rnacentral:rRNA from 1 species